UACGUAGGUGGCGAGCGUUGUCCGGAUUUACUGGGCGUAAAGAGCGCGCAGGCGGUCGUUCAAGUCGCGUGUGAAAGCCCCCGGCUCAACUGGGGAGGGUCACGCGAUACUGAUCGACUCGAAGGCAGGAGAGGGAAGUGGAAUACCCGGUGUAGUGGUGAAAUGCGUAGAUAUCGGGAGGAACACCAGUGGCGAAGGCGACUUCCUGGCCUGUUCUUGACGCUGAGGCGCGAAAGCUAGGGGAGCAAACGGG
rnacentral:rRNA from 1 species